ACCAUUUCCAUCCUCCUCUUCCCCUCGCGCCGUCAGAUGGGUUACAGGGAUGCCGUCGGCAUGGGAGGGCUCAGGUGAGCUCGACACCACCACGAGGUCAACGCCUUCUUCCUCUCCGACAACGCCAAGAGCAUGCGGGGGUCGUGGGAGAUCCAUUCCCGCGGAGAGCGUGCAACGAGUACGACGACAUCGAUGACUCCACGACGGCCCCUUCUUCCUCCAGUCUGGCGAUCAUCGACAAAACCUCUGCGUCGUCGUUCCCCUCCGUCGAGCAGGCCGAUUCCUCAGACCUCUAGGUGAGCAUGCGCCCCGCUCCCCUCCGUCUUUAUCUGUUCUCUCUUCGUGUCCGUCGUGCACCGUUGCCGUGGUUAUCCGGCGAGGCACAUCAGUGCAGCUGCGUGCUUGCGAGCACCAGUGGGUGUCGGGGUCUUCCUCCCCCUCCACAGCGUUUCUAUUAGUGCAGAUCCCCCCUUCGUAGCUUCGAUGCGUGAGUGUGUGCGCGGUGUGACGUGCAGCUCCGGCGAGAGAGCACGUCGCCGACACUUCUCUGUCUAGCAGUGGAGAGACCAUGUUAGUUAUGUCUGGUGUGGAUCCCCCUAGCAGAGCAGAUCCACCACCCUAGCCUAGUGGCAACCGAACUAGGCAUACUCCACGGCAUCGUGGGUUCGAACCCCCUGGCGCCCCCUUUUUAUUUCGGUUGUUUUCUUGUGCAUGCAGAGUAGCAGCUCACCUUACCUGAAGCCCAGAAUAGUUCAGCUAGACCCGAGUGGCCUAGUGGUAGCGGGUGUGUGCGGGUGUGUGUGAGGUGCAGGGUUCGAACCACCCUGCACCUAUUUUUGUUGAGUGUAUUUUCCACUGUGUGUGUGUAUGUAGUGUGGCAGGGCCCACUUGUCACACUUGCUAGGGGGCCCCUGGUGCCUAUGACCAGUCGGGCCCCAUGCCAACUAUUGUUUUGUGUGUGUUGUGGUAUUAUUGAGCUUAUUCCCUUUUAGGCAUUAGUCCAUUUGGGGAAAUAGCCAGAUCUGGCGUAUCCCAUAAUAGGCAAGUUUUAACUUAUAGUUUGUUGUAGGAAUUGGGUGAUUUUUCUUUUUCAGAAUUGGGGGUAUUUUAUCCUUAGGUAUAUAGGAGUGUGAUAUAUGCUUUUGGGGUAUAAAAUCCCAAGGAUUCCAAUGAUGUUACUAGAUUCUGGUUUUGAGCGUUUCUGUAGAAGUCUCCUUGUGGUGAUGUGGCAAUAGUUUUAUCUGUGUAGGGUGGUUCAUGUGCAUGGUAAGAGAUAGUGCAUGCAUGCAUCAUUAUGUCUGUGGCAUCAUCUACUUGCUGGCAUUUAUUUCCUGCUUGUUUCCUUUGGGUAGCUACUCGGACCGGAAACGAGUUCGAAGAGUCCGGUGAGUUCGUGUAGGAAUAUCGUGAUCAGUUCCACUCUGAAGAAACCACAUGCAAGAUGAUCGUGACCUUGACACCGUUUCUAGCUUUGUUUCGCUUAGUGUUAGGUUUCAUUCGUUACAUCUCCGUUGCCUACCACAUGAUAUAUAAGCCAUCAAACAUUUCCAUGAAACCUCAAACACCUCCCCUCCUAGCAAAGAUUGUUUGGCUAAGUUAGGCUUGCUCAACCACUAAAUUGUUAGUGUUGCUAGUUGCAGGUGCCAGCUGGUCCAUGUGAUAACAUGGGCAUUUGAUAUCAUCAUAUUUAAUUGCUAUUUAAUUAAUGAACAUAUAUACUUGGCAAUAACGGAAGGCCUAGCCUUUUGCCGGGUGAUUUGUUCCGUUGUUGCCACCUUAGUUUCGGCUAUCGGUGUUUUAUUCCUUAACUGAGCGAUCCUAACACGUUCGGGGUUGUUAUGGGGACCACCUUGAUAAUUCGUUUAGAUUAAAUCUUCUCCAGCCAUGCCCAACUUUGGUGUUAAAUUUGCUAAUAACUUAAUAAAAAGCAUAGGGAAUAGCUACCCUGAGGAAUUAAUCAACAACCCGGGUCAGAGCUCCUCAUGAGUGUUGGUCCAACCUGAGUGAUGUCCGGCGCCCCCUGGUCACCCAGGGUUUAGCCAACCCGAAGUCUAGCUCAUCCGGUCGUGCCCUGAGAACGAGAUACACGACUCCUAUCGGGACUAUCGACACGCGGGGCGGCCUUGCUGGAUUAGUUUUACCUUUUACGAGAUAUCUUGUGCAUUGGGAUUCCGGUGAGACUUUGGGUCUUCUCACAGUUGAGGUUUUUCCACUAAGGAAUCGGACGAGAUCACGAGUUUCGUGGUAGAGGAUUACUAUGCGGCCUCUGGUAAUUUGUGAUGGACUAGUUGGAGCACCCGUGCAGGGUUAAAUCUUUCGGAAAGCCAUGCCUGCGGUUAUGUGGCAAACAUGGAUAUUUUGUUAACAUCCGGUUCUAGACAACUUAAAGUAAUUCAAAUAAAAGUUGCCAACUGAGUGUGUAACCGUGUCUGUUUCCUUCAGAGCUCCUUCUCUAAUCGAGAACAGAGCGGGGUUAUGAAUGACGUAAGUAGGUGUUCAGGAUCACUUAGUGAUCAAUCUAGUCUUCGACCGUCUUACAUAGACCACCAUAUGUUAUCCCUGUUCUUCGUAAGUUAACCACCAUCUAUGCUUAGGAUACUGCAAACUCAAACACUUAACCUACCUCACCUAUUUAACUUAGUUAGACUCGAUACCAAGGUCAUGAGAUUGCUGAGUCCUCGUGGCUCACAAUUUACUACAAACCCCCAUAGGUAUAGGUACCCCACACGCAGGUGUUUCCGAUGAUAACCAGCUGAGGUGGGAGUUCGACGAGGAUAGUGGCAGGCUGGAUGUGACGUAUCCCGAGGACUAGAGGUGCAUGUUCGUGAUCAUGGGACUAGCCAGAUGGGAUAGCAUGAUUUUUCCGUUUAUCUUGUCCGUAGUCGGACCCUCCUUUAUGUAUUUAUAAUGAAUACUUGUGUGGAUUGUAAUUUAGCAUGUGGCGAGUGUAAGCCGAAUCUUAUACUCAUCUCUCUAUUUAUGUAAUGGCAUUGCUAUCCUAGUUGCAAUACACUUAGAUGGGACCCUUUCCCCUUUUGAGGCCUCGUCCCCAAAUAAGGAAAGUGCCGCAUCUUGGUCGUUACAAGUUGUUAAUCAGAGCCUUACGACCAUAGGAGCCUUUGUGUGAUCGAACUUGGCCGAGUCGAGUCUAGCAAAAACUAUUUUGAGUCUUAGUUAUAUCGGAGAGUAGGUUUCUUUUUUCUCUUCUUCUAUGCUCUCAUGAUGCUCGUGACUUGGGAAAUUUUAAUUCUACUGCUCUUCUUGCUCGAAAAAAAUUUAGGAUCACGCGGAUAUUUUGAAAUCUAUAUGAUAUCGAUGUGAUGGAGUUCUGUCUUGGUGCCUCCUGCUGUGUUGAUUUUAUUCCGGGGAGUUGAGCUCCAGGGAAUUCUUGAGCACAUCAUUAUCAUUCAGAUUUCUUAGUAUCUCAUGAUGAAGGAUGUUUGAAAUUGAUUCAAUACUAGCAGUGGCGAGAGGAGUGUGGCUUCCCCAGUACUGGUGCAGAUAGGUCCGGAUGUAUCGCCAUACUUAGUAUCGUUGUGAUUACGAGGAUAUGAGAUAGAUGAACUUCCAAGAUUUUGGUUAUGUGUUGACGGAUGUGAUACACUAGAAGGGUUAGAUGCUAGGAGUUGAGUGAUAUAUUACUCCUUGUAUCCGUGGACCAGAUUGCAUGACCAGAAAUUUCGGGAGUUCUUAGGUGGGAAUUCAGGUAGUUACUUAUAGGACAUUCCUCCAACAGAUGCAUGAUGUGAGGUUUUGAUUCGACAUCUAGUGGAUUCGUUUGUUCAUGGUCAUCUUACAAUGGUUCUCGUUGUGUCUAAAAGUGUCCUUUGUAACGACUAAGAUGCGGUCCUUUCCAAUUUAGGGAACGAGGCCCCGAAUUGUAAAGAAGCGCAUCUAAGCGUUUCGCAAGCACGGUAAUGCUACUCCGACAACAGACCUUUCCUGGUACGGCGCCAGGAAUCAUGUUGCUACGGCUACGCCUUUAGGGAAUUCCUUGGCAAAUAUGCAAAGGAUUUGCCCCCGGCCUUGGAGCCUUGCGUUGGUGUUCCCUUGAAGAGGAAAGGGUGAUGUAGCACAGCGGCGGUAAGUAUUUCCCUCAGUUUUGAGAACCAAGGUAUCGAACCAAUGGAAGAUCUCGUCAAGUCACAAGUACCUGCACAAACACAAAGAGCUUGCACCCAACGCUAUGAAGGGGUUGUCAAUCCCUU
rnacentral:lncRNA from 1 species